UACAGAGGUGCCGAGCGUUAGGCGGAAUCACUGGGCUUAAAGCGUGUGUAGGCGGACUUCUAAGUACCUUGUGAAAUCCCACGGCUCACCCGUGGAACUGCUGGGUAUACUGGUCGUCUUGAGCCACCUAGGGGCCAGCGGAACAAAUGGUGGAGCGGUGAAAUGCGUGGAUAUCGUUUGGAACGCCAAUGGUGAAAACAACUUGCUGGGGGUGUGCUGACGCUGAGACACGAAAGCCAGGGGAGCAAACGGG
rnacentral:rRNA from 1 species